CCCGAUCCUUCACUUCUUUCCCCUGAUUAUUCUUAUCUUCUCCACUCGAUUUCCAUCCUCCUCUCCCUCACGCGCCGCCCUCUCCCGAUUCCCCAUCGCUGUGGACCACCACGACCCCUAGCCACCUGCUAUGGUCGCUGAUGAAGCUCUAAUGCGACAGCCACCUCAUGAGCAUCUUCUUCCUCUCCGACUCGUCGCCGAUACCAAACACCGACUGGCGAAGCACCUUAACGCCAACGUGGAUCCAUCGUCCUCGACCUCGAGGGGUGCCUUAGAUCUGAGAGACAUCAUUGAUUCCUAACCACUUGGUCUCCUCCAAAUCCACCGCUGCCGAUGGCUAAGCCAUGUCAUCGCCCUUGCACGUGAGGCCAGAUCGCAUGAGGCUAGAGCCCUCGUGCUCUCCUUGCAGUGGUGCUGUGCGAUUCGCCCAACAUCAACCAUGAGAGAUGACCCUCGUUCUCCACCCCACGUUGUCAGUUGUUCUUGAGCUGCCGGUCUUCCAUAUCUUCCGAUUGUCGUUAGCAAGAUGUCGUGAUAAGCUUUGUUGCCACCCCUUUACUUACGGUCCCUGAGCAGCAGUGGCUAUGGCCAUAAUGAGUUCGUCGCCCGAUUUCUCCUUCUCAUCUUCAGCCGUCGUCGUGACCCACUGUGAGGGCAGUGGACAUUCCUGUUGAAUGGUAACAAAUCACUUAGUCUAAGCUCUUGACCUAUGAUAAAUCUGAUUAGAAGUUUGAAUUAGGUUGUGGAUUAAGAAUUAAGUCUAAUGCUUGAAUGUGAAUGUGCUGAUUGUGAUUUAGGUUAGUCGAUUUUGGGAGAUCAACAAUUUAACCUAGAUUUGGCUACUAAAUUUUGGCAGCAAACGUCUUCAAUCGUGGGACAACAACUGUGCAAUUAGAUUUGGGUAAAGGAUUUAUGGAGUUGCCUGGAGAUCCUGUCCGCCAAUCCCAUGUAACACCGAGCUUCUCGUACCGUUAGUGCUUCUAUACGCUUUUUUGGUUUUGUACUUAUUCCUAUAUUUGUAUCUUUUAUAUGGAGUUUAGUUUUGUGAUAUCUUGUAUUUGGUUUGGUAAUUAUGUGUCAAGCUGAGCCGGCUUGCAGUUGGUUGUAUUAUGGUUUUGUGAUCAUUAUUUGUGAUUUCCGCUGUGUUUUACUUUCAGCCGUGUGGGAUGUUUAAUAUAUAUAUAUAACUGCGUGAUUAUGUUUA